rnacentral:rRNA from 1 species
AUUGAACGCUGGCGGCAGGCCUAACACAUGCAAGUCGAACGGUAGCACAGAGAGCUUGCUCUCGGGCGACGAGUGGCGGACGGGUGAGUAACGUCUGGGAAACUGCACGAUGGAGGGGGAUAACUACUGGAAACGGUAGCUAAUACCGCAUAACGUCGCAAGACCAAAGUGGGGGACCUUCGGGCCUAACACCAUCGGAUGAGCCAAGAUGGGAUUAGCUAGUAGGUGGGGUAAUGGCUCACCUAGGCGACGAUCCCUAGCUGGGCUGAGAGGAUGACCAGCCACACUGGAACUGAGACACGGUCCAGACUCCUACGGGAGGCAGCAGUGGGGAAUAUUGCACAAUGGGCGCAAGCCUGAUGCAGCCAUGCCGCGUGUAUGAAGAAGGCCUUCGGGUUGUAAAGUACUUUCAGCGGGGAGGAAGGCGGUGAAGUUAAUAGCUUCACCGAUUGACGUUACCCGCAGAAGAAGCACCGGCUAACUCCGUGCCAGCCGCCGCUGUAA